rnacentral:rRNA from 1 species
CCUACGGGUGGCAGCAGUGGGGAAUAUUGCACAAUGGGGGGAACCCUGAUGCAGCGACGCCGCGUGAGUGAAGAAGUAUUUCGGUAUGUAAAGCUCUAUCAGCAGGGAAGAAGAUGACGGUAUCUGACUAAUAAGCCCCGGCUAACUACGUGCCAGCAGCCGCGGUAAUACGUAGGGGGCAAGCGUUAUCCGGAUUUACUGGGUGUAAAGGGCGCGUAGACGGGAGGGCAAGUCUGGAGUGAAAGCCCGGGGCCCAACCACGGGACUGCUUUGGAAACUGCCAUGCUGGAGUGUUGGAGAGGUAAGUGGAAUUCUUGGUGUAGGGGUGAAAUGCGUAGAGAUUAGGAGGAACA